rnacentral:rRNA from 1 species
AGAGCACUGUUUCGGCAAGGGGGUCAUCCCGACUUACCAACCCGAUGCAAACUGCGAAUACCGGAGAAUGUUAUCACGGGAGACACACGGCGGGUGCUAACGUCCGUCGUGAAGAGGGAAACAACCCAGACCGCCAGCUAAGGUCCCAAAGUCAUGGUUAAGUGGGAAACGAUGUGGGAAGGCCCAGACAGCCAGGAUGUUGGCUUAGAAGCAGCCAUCAUUUAAAGAAAGCGUAAUAGCUCACUGGUCGAGUCGGCCUGCGCGGAAGAUGUAACGGGGCUAAACCAUGCACCGAAGCUGCGGCAGCGACACUAUGUGUUGUUGGGUAGGGGAGCGUUCUGUAAGCCUGUGAAGGUGUGCUGUGAGGCAUGCUGGAGGUAUCAGAAGUGCGAAUGCUGACAUAAGUAACGAUAAAGCGGGUGAAAAGCCCGCUCGCCGGAAGACCAAGGGUUCCUGUCCAACGUUAAUCGGGGCAGGGUGAGUCGACCCCUAAGGCGAGGCCGAAAGGCGUAGUCGAUGGGAAACAGGUUAAUAUUCCUGUACUUGGUGUUACUGCGAAGGGGGGACGGAGAAGGCUAUGUUGGCCGGGCGACGGUUGUCCCGGUUUAAGCGUGUAGGCUGGUUUUCCAGGCAAAUCCGGAAAAUCAAGGCUGAGGCGUGAUGACGAGGCACUACGGUGCUGAAGCAACAAAUGCCCUGCUUCCAGGAAAAGCCUCUAAGCAUCAGGUAACAUCAAAUCGUACCCCAAACCGACACAGGUGGUCAGGUAGAGAAUACCAAGGCGCUUGAGAGAACUCGGGUGAAGGAACUAGGCAAAAUGGUGCCGUAACUUCGGGAGAAGGCACGCUGAUAUGUAGGUGAAGUCCCUCGCGGAUGGAGCUGAAAUCAGUCGAAGAUACCAGCUGGCUGCAACUGUUUAUUAAAAACACAGCACUGUGCAAACACGAAAGUGGACGUAUACGGUGUGACGCCUGCCCGGUGCCGGAAGGUUAAUUGAUGGGGUCAGCGCAAGCGAAGCUCUUGAUCGAAGCCCCGGUAAACGGCGGCCGUAACUAUAACGGUCCUAAGGUAGCGAAAUUCCUUGUCGGGUAAGUUCCGACCUGCACGAAUGGCGUAAUGAUGGCCAGGCUGUCUCCACCCGAGACUCAGUGAAAUUGAACUCGCUGUGAAGAUGCAGUGUACCCGCGGCAAGACGGAAAGACCCCGUGAACCUUUACUAUAGCUUGACACUGAACAUUGAGCCUUGAUGUGUAGGAUAGGUGGGAGGCUUAGAAGUGUGGACGCCAGUCUGCAUGGAGCCGACCUUGAAAUACCACCCUUUAAUGUUUGAUGUUCUAACGUUGACCCGUAAUCCGGGUUGCGGACAGUGUCUGGUGGGUAGUUUGACUGGGGCGGUCUCCUCCUAAAGAGUAACGGAGGAGCACGAAGGUUGGCUAAUCCUGGUCGGACAUCAGGAGGUUAGUGCAAUGGCAUAAGCCAGCUUGACUGCGAGCGUGACGGCGCGAGCAGGUGCGAAAGCAGGUCAUAGUGAUCCGGUGGUUCUGAAUGGAAGGGCCAUCGCUCAACGGAUAAAAGGUACUCCGGGGAUAACAGGCUGAUACCGCCCAAGAGUUCAUAUCGACGGCGGUGUUUGGCACCUCGAUGUCGGCUCAUCACAUCCUGGGGCUGAAGUAGGUCCCAAGGGUAUGGCUGUUCGCCAUUUAAAGUGGUACGCGAGCUGGGUUUAGAACGUCGUGAGACAGUUCGGUCCCUAUCUGCCGUGGGCGCUGGAGAACUGAGGGGGGCUGCUCCUAGUACGAGAGGACCGGAGUGGACGCAUCACUGGUGUUCGGGUUGUCAUGCCAAUGGCACUGCCCGGUAGCUAAAUGCGGAAGAGAUAAGUGCUGAAAGCAUCUAAGCACGAAACUUGCC